rnacentral:rRNA from 1 species
AGGGGUACGACCCGAAGCGUGAUGAGCUUACCAUGAGCAGGGUGAAGCGCAUGUAAAAGUGCGUGGAGGCCCGAACCGGUUGGCCGUUCAAAACCAUCGGAUGACUUGUGGUAAGGAGUGAAAAGCUUAUCGAAUUACGUAAUAGCUGGUUCUCUCCGAAACAGCUUUUGGGUUGGCGUCGUGUGGUCCCUCUGGGGGUAGAGCACUGGAAGGAGCAAACAGGGAGAAAUCUCGUUGCUCCUAUCAAACUCCGAAUACCAGCAGGCAACAGCACGGCAGUUAGACAGUGGGGGAGAAGCUCCAUGUGUCGAAAGGGAAACAGCCCAGAUCGCCAGUUAAGGUCCCUAAAUAUAUGCUCAGUGCAACUUGAGGAGGUGAGGAUUCAUUAACAAUCAGGAAGUUGGCUUAGAAGCAGCCAUCUUUUAAAGAAAGCGUAACAGCUCACUGAUCGAGAGUCCUUGCGCCGAAGAUGAUCGGGGCUCAAGCAUAUUACCGAAACUGCGGAUUUCCAUGAUUUAUCAUGGGAGUGGUAGGAGAGCGUUCGUAUUGCAAUGAAUGGGAGGCGAGAGCCGACCUGGAGCGAUGCGAAGUGAGAAUGCCGGCACAAGUAACCGCAAGACGGGUGGGAACCCCGUCCGCCGAAAUACCAAGGUUUCCUUUGCGAUGGUGAUCAGCGAAGGGUUAGUCGGUCCUAAGGGAAUCCCGAAUGGGGGACUCGAUGGAGAGCAGGUUAAUAUUCCUGCACACUGGUGCGUUGCGAUGGAGGGACGGAGGGUUGUACUUGACGCGGCUUAUUGGAUUGCCGUAGGAGGUUCGAGGAGGUCACGUAGGCAAAUCCGCGUGGCAAUACUCCGAGUUCAAACUAAUAGAUGAGGCUACGGCCAAAUCGAUGUCAAGGAGCACGCUUCCGAGAAAAACUUCUAAGCAUAAACGUACCGGUUCCGUACCGCAAUCCGACACAGGUGGUAGAGUCGAGAAGACUAAGGCGAACGAGUGAGAGGUCCUCAAGGAACUCGGCAAACAAGCGGCCGUAACUUAGGGAUAAGGCCUGCCUUUAUAGAAAUAUAAAGGCCGCAGCGAAAGAUUUCCUGCCGACUGUUUAUCAAAAACACAGCUCCCUGCGAAGACGUAAGUCAAUGUAUAGGGGGUGACGCCUGACCUAUGCUGGAAGGUUAAAUACGGGGGGUCGUAUGUUCUUCGGAAUGUGCGGCUGGACUGUAUAAGCCCCAGUAAAUGUCAGCGAUAACUAUAAUCGUUCUAAGGUCGUGCGUGUUUCUUCGGAAAUCCGCACGACGGAUUGGAACGGUUAUAGAGAUAAACAGCCUAGCCAUAGUUACCUUACAUACAGAAAUGUAUGCAUUAUCCAAAUCUAGCCUACAAGAGACCAAAUGCUAGAAACCCAAGUGUUCCUUGUGAAUAACGGGUUAAGAUAGAGUCCUGCAGUGAAAUGUCUUUGAAAAGCAAUUUUCAAAGAAGAAGGAAAUGUAGAGCGUAUUUCCUUGUCGGGUAAGUUCCGACCUGCACGAAUGGCGUAACGAGUGGGAAACUGUCUCGAGGACCUGCUCGGUGAAAAUACAAUCGCGGUAAAGAUGCCGCGUACCUGCAGAUAGACGAAAAGACCCCAGGUGCUUUACUGUAGCUUCGUAUUGGGGCUAUUGAAUUAAUGCGUAGUAUAGGUGUGAGGCUUUGAAGUGGGCUUUCGGGUACCAUGGAGCCGCCAGUGAAAUAGCACCCUUUAAUUUGGUAGUCUCUAACCCGUGUGGUAAAACCUCACAGGGACAGUGCGUGGCAGGCAGUUUUAGUGGGGCGCUACCCUCCCAAAAAGUAACGGAGGGGUCUCAAGGUUGGUUAGCCGCGAAUGGAAACCGUGGCGAUAGUGUAAUGGCAUAAACCAGCUUGACUGUAAGAGGUAGAUCUCGAACAGACACGAAAGUGGAGCAUAGUGAACCGAUGGCUCGCGUUAGAUGCGGCCGGAGAUUACCCGAUAAAAGUAACCCUGGGGAUAACAGGCUAGUCGUGCCCAAGCGUCCAUAGCGACGGCACGGUUCGGCACCUUAACUUAUAUAAGUUUCAAAACAAUAUACAUCGGGGUGCCUAGAGUAGCGAUACUCUACAAAAACAAAUCGGCUAUUACGGUGAACGCCAUGCCAGCCGCUACUACUUAUGUAGUAGAAUGAGGACAUGGUCAAUACCGUGGAAAGGCUAAAUCAAUUCCAAAGGUCAGUAAUUAUUGGCACCGUACUUGGUGAUGGAUACCUUCGUAUCGUCCCAGGUCGCCAACAUGCCUUUUUGGAAGUAAAUCAUGCACUUAGUCAGCAAGAGUACGUAUGGUGGAAAUACCAGGUACUUGAAGGAGUUAGAGCUGGAGCACCAAAAGUGCGUAAUGGAAAUGGUGGGCGUACAGCAGUACGCUUCCAUACCAAACAAUCUGAAGAAUUAA